rnacentral:tRNA from 1 species
GGCCUCGUAGCUCAGCUGGUAGAGCGUGCGCGUACAAAGGGUAGGCGGCUUCCGUGCGUGGGUUUGAAUCCCACCGAGGCUA